CCAAAAAUGCAUACUCUUGGUGAGUCCUGGAGCAUGGCUGUCAGAUCUCUCACAGGAGAGGUAUGUAGUCAGGGAGAAGAAGGGAUCAAGAAAGAGGAGAAGAGGAUUAAAGGCCAUGUCCAUGGAGAGUGAUUCAGAAUGAAGUAAA